CCUUUCCUGUUCGCUCCGGGAUUAGCUGCUGGAUUAGCUCCUGGAUUAGCUGCUGGAUUAGCUCUUCGAUUAACAACUUGCUGGAGGCUAUUCAAAUUAGCCACACCGUGGGAUGUAAGGAGCUCUCUGAUUGGUUGGUCAGACACAGGCUGUCUGCCAGGCUGGAUUUUUCUAGCUCAUAGCUUCUCCCUGCUACGAAGCGUGUGUGCUUGUACAAAGGCCGUUCAGCGUCGGGAUUUACACUCGGCUCGACACGGAUAUGUGAAGAAUGAAGGGACCCUGCAGCGAAACGGAGAGCCAACCUCUGACUGAGUGCCUGUCUCACACAGUCUGACCACCUGUUGAAGGGCUGUUUGAUGACGAUUUGGACUCCUCUGGGAGAUGAGGACACACCCACAUCUGUUCCAUACUGCAGCCAUUGAUGGUGUUACAGCUCUGAGUCAGCUUUGGGCCAUCAGAUGCACACACUGGAAAACCAGCACCUGGACUUCAUGCAGGAGAGACUGCCUCAGUGAUAAUUCAUCAGCAGCUGUGGAGAGAUGCAUUUGAAUAUCUACUGGUUCCACUUUUCCUUACCUGGAAGCUGAGUAUUGCUGAUUUCUGACAAGGACACAAACCUCAGUGCUUAUCAUGGGUGUUACAUCCUCUGUGCAGCAAUUCCAGAGAAAACAAGAGAGCAACGACCACUCAUUAAGACCAGACAGAAAUCUGUCCCUUUCUG
ensembl:lncRNA